CCUACGGGGGGCAGCAGUGGGGAAUAUUGGACAAUGGGGGGAACCCUGAUCCAGCCAUGCCGCGUGUGUGAAGAAGGCCCUCGGGUUGUAAAGCACUUUCAGUGAGGAAGAACGCCUGGUGGUUAAUACCCAUCAGGAAAGACAUCACUCACAGAAGAAGCACCGGCUAACUCCGUGCCAGCAGCCGCGGUAAUACGGAGGGUGCGAGCGUUAAUCGGAAUUACUGGGCGUAAAGCGCGCGUAGGUGGCUUGAUAAGCCGGUUGUGAAAGCCCCGGGCUCAACCUGGGAACGGCAUCCGGAACUGUCAAGCUAGAGUGCAGGAGAGGAAGGUAGAAUUCCCGGUGUAGCGGUGAAAUGCGUAGAGAUCGGGAGGAAUCCCAGUGGCGAAGGCGGCCUUCUGGACUGACACUGACACUGAGGUGCGAAAGCGUGGGUAGCAAACAGGAUUAGAUACCCCUGUAGUC
rnacentral:rRNA from 1 species